rnacentral:tRNA from 1 species
AUUUGAGUAGCUCAAAGAGUGUUAUUUUGAAGCAAUAAAGGAAGAGUUAAUCUCUCAGAUA